CUUAAAGAGAAAUUAAAAUGCAUUACACCUCUUGGGGUUGAAGCUAUAAAAAAACAGUAACAAAAAAAUGCAAGACAAUGAAUGUGUGCAUGAAAGGAGACAACAUCUUCAUUUUGUCCCUAAAGGCAGCAAAAUUCUACCAGGAAUUAAUUUGACUUCUGGUCAAAUUAUUAUUAUGCAGUUGUUAUUAUUAUGCAGUUUAAAGGGCUGUUUUUACUUUGCCUAGUAAGACUUUUAGGGCACUGACUUUCUAAUUAGUAUCUUGUCUAAAAACAAAUGCUGCUCAUUCUGUCAGAUAUCCUAGGGCACAGUAAGUUUCUGCCCUCCUUGUCUACUAUCCUGUCUAUUACAAUAAUUAUACUGUAUUUCAGUAACUUUUUCUUUUGCUCCAGAGUAUUACACAGACACCAUCCUAGAUGACCAGAAGCUGUUUUCAUUUGUUCUUUAAUCUUUGAUCUGUUCACCUUGGAUGGUCCUUGCAGGACUUAAUGCUUCUGUUGGCAUAGCUCUCGCUGUCACCAGGUCAGAUCUGCCCUUCCCUUGCAUCAAAGUCAAUCUUCAGGGAAGGAAUCUGUUUUGCCUAAUGUAAACCAAAACAUGCAUUCCUACUCAGAGCUACCUUCACAGCUGUAUGGAUAAUAAUUACAAGCAGAGGAAUUACGCUUGUCUUACAUCCAAAGCCUUGAGAAUAAUUAAGUGUGUUGGGAACAGACGUGCUGAUUGGAUACCUUAGUGGAUUGUUAGAAUCCAGCUGUUCCACACUUCUGAUACCUGUGGUGAAACAAAUCACUGCCAAGUUGAAAGGAGCAUCAGGUGAUGCUUGCAAGACGAGAGCCUCCCACAGCUGUGUCCUCCUGCACACUCACACCUCUCUGGGACCCGGCACCAAGCCCGGGUGCCGACAGUGUGACUGCCAGAGCCUGGGCCCGUCCUUCCUCAUGAAAGCUGGCACAGUGAUUCCCACUCACACUGCAGAGCAUGAGAUGUGACAGAGGAGAUUUCCAGACCCAAAACCACACGUGCCCUUACCCGUCUGCAGCUUGCACCUGCCAUGAUCGAUGGUGCAGUCAUACAGAGAAUGCUCUCUCCAUCUUGGAUACUGUCCUUGUGCAGUGACAAGAGAACACCUGGUUUGGAAUUGCCAGCUAAUGUUUGGCAUCAAUUCAGCCACCUUGGCUGCAGAAUGGUGAGCCAUGAACAAAACCCAAAUGCAUGGGAGCUCCUGGGCAGGCCCUUGUGCUGGUCUGGUUGAGGAGGUUUGCCUAAAAGCUGAGCAUAAACAGAUGCCUUCUUGAAUUAUUGACUGGCUCAUUCUCUCAGAAGUCUUCCAUUACUGUGGUCCCCAGGGCUUAGCUGCAAAGUUGGCAAGAAAGAAGCAGAUUCUGGUACCCACACCAGUUAAUCAGGCUUUGCAGGACCUGAGAAGAAUCUCCUGCUGGGGGAUGUAAUACCACACAGAAGCUGAGGGCAGGAACAGGAUAUCUGUGAGUCCAGUAGACCAGGUCUCCUGUGCAAGUAGACACUGGAGUGUUUUCAAUCCGUGUAUUGAACACUGAGUAUUCUCACUGGUUUUGGAUAUUCAAUGUAUGUAGAUAGAAUUGUAUCUUGCACUUUGCUCAUGCCCACUCUCUGUCAUCCUCUGGCAAUCAAAAUACUGAUUCGGUCUUGGUCUUAAAUCCAGCUGAGUUAAACCAGAGGUGAAUAUGGUCCUGUCUGAUUGGUAAGUAGAUUUUUCUUCUGUCCUAAAUAAAAUAGAGAAAGAAAUAAGAGCAGCAAGGCUAAAUCUAUGAACAGAUUUGAAUCCUUAUUUAGCUUUUUUUCCAUGAUGCAAGUCUUCAGCUCACUAUCUACCCUUAUGUUUCCUAGAACAUAUUUUGGAUGAUGAUGCUGCACUCUUUCUGGAACUGUUUACUCAAUGUAUUUGUUGUAUUUGCGCAACAUUUUACAAACAAGAUAUGUCAAAUUUUUUCCUUGUUGACAUAAUUCAACAGGCUUCACAUAGGUUCAGCUGGAAGGAAUUUGGUCCAGUUAGUUUUGUUUACAGAUUUAUUCAAAAUUAAUUUUAAACUCCAGGUCUGCCCCUAGCUUUCUGGCUGACCUUAGGAUGGGAAAAUGCCAAGGCCCAUUUUUCACUUGAUAAAAAUGACACUUAAGAAUAAAUGUAAAAACCAUCCAGACCUUUAUCAUUAGAUUUAAAUUAUAUUUUCUAGAAAAAAACUUUCAAAAACCAGUCUUUAAACUCUUUUCCAAAGAAAAAUUCUCUUUCCCAUCCUUUUAAGAGAGCAGGUUUACUCAUAAUUACCCUGGCCUGACUUCUAGAGGAAGAAAUACACUAAGAUCUAAGCUGUCAAAAGGAGAAACCACAGAGCUUCUUGAUGGGUUUAGUAUAGAGUCAGUUCAAAGAGGCUGAACCUUUUGCUGACUUUAAAUAUACAAUAUGUAUUUUGUAGGAUAGAAAAAGUUUUAGAAGAAGGGGAUGAUACGAGGCAGUGUUGUGACCCUGUGAGUGCCUCAGAGAGAUUUAAACAGCCUGAGUUAACAGGCAGAGCUCCUCAGGCACAGACACCCUCAGAACUGGGUAGGUGUAAAACUAUCUUCACAUCUAAAGAUCUUGUAAGAUGACUCAAGCAUGGCACAGAAUCUCACCUCAAUGCUUUUUAUCACUGUACUUUCCAUAUGUCAUUAUGAAAAUAACACUUCUCCCUCAGUCUGGAAAAGGCUGAAACAAUGAGCUUUAUUUUCACAGCAUCUUUAUGCCUGGAUAAACAUUAUGCUAGUUUGGUUCUGAAGCUCAUAGGCUUUGUAGCUAAGCCUUAGAGAUGCUGUAAUCACCUGACUUCAGAGAAGACAUAAAAACAAUUGUGACUCCCUUUAUCAUAUAUGAUGCAAAUAGCAUAUAUAAGUCUCUUUGGUUAGGGCAGCCCUCCCAUCUGAUUUAAAACUGUCAAACUUCUGCCCUUGUAUGUAACACUGCAGCAUCAUACUUACAUCCAGCAAUACUCUUUUUGUUCAAAACAAACAGAAAUAGAUCCCUUUUCAAGCAAUGUGUACUUAAACGUGGAACAUAUUCCCAUGCAGAGUGUCCAAAGGCAACUUUGUAUGCAUGUUGAGAAACUGAAAAUAAAACAAAUUCAUUAUUUAUACCCCACCAAAUAAACAAAAAUGCCACCAAAGGCUACAAAGCACAACCAUCACCUCUGCGUGAGUGCCUGAGCUCCAGGCUGCUAGGAACAGCAAGAAUUUGCCAUAAGUAUUUGGUUGCUGCAUUAAAAUGUGACAUACUGCUGGC